GGCACGAUAGGCGAGACUGAAGACUUGGAUGUGAAUGAACCUGCACAAGCAGAUGGCACUUCAAGUCAUCUCUAUAGGGAUCCUCAAGCAGGAGAUGCCAGAUUGCCAUCAUGACUGGACUUUAGGAAGUUAUAUUUGGAUGUGUUGAAGGAGAACACUGCUUUGAGGGAGAAGCUCCAGGAAACACAGCUGCAGCUCAGUGAGAGCAAAGUGGAGCUGGAACGACUCCGACAGAGUCAGGAGAAUGGCUGUGAGCGCCCUGCUCUACUGGAGCUGGAGAGAUUUGAGAAGAAGGCACUUGAGAGAAAAGCAUCAGAGCUGGAGGAUGAGCUCAAGGUUCUGAUUGACCUGCGUGCCGAUAACCAGCGUCUGAAAGAUGAGAACGCCUCCCUCAUCCGUGUCAUCAGCAAGCUCUCCAGAUGAGCUCUAUAUGUGCCGCUACCCUCCCAAACCACUAAGUGGCAGCACUGUGCCAUUCUGCACAUCUCUGCCCA